rnacentral:rRNA from 1 species
UGCAAGUCGAACGGUAAGGCUUUCACAGAUUAUUUAACCUGGAUAAGUCCGCUUUAAAACGGAUACUGUCUAAAUAAGUUCCUAGGCUAGGACCUUGGUUGAAUGAUGUGUGAAAGUACACGAGUGGCGGACGGCUGAGUAACGCGUUGGAAUGUACCCCAAAGUGAGGGAUAAGCACCAGAAAUGGUGUCUAAUACCGCAUAUGGUCCUCGGAUUAAAGCCUUCGGGCGCUUUGGGAACAGCCUGCGUAAGAUUAGCUAGUUGGUGAGGUAAUGGCUCACCAAGGCGACGAUCUUUAGCUGGUCUGAGAGGCUGAUCAGCCAGACUGGAACUGAGACACGGUCCAGACUCCUACGGGAGGCAGCAGUAGGGAAUUUUCCACAAUGGGGGCAACCCUGAUGGAGCAACGCCGCGUGCAGGAUGAAGGCUUUCGGGUCGUAAACUGCUUUUAUUUGUGACGAUUAUGACAGUAGCAAAUGAAUAAGGAUCGGCUAACUACGUGCCAGCAGCCGCGGUCAUACGUAGGAUCCAAGCGUUAUCCGGAAUCACUGGGCGUAAAGAGUUGCGUAGGAGGUUUGUUAAGCGAGUAGUGAAAUCUUGAGGCUCAACCUCAAGGCUAUUACUUGAACUGGCAAACUUGAGUGCGGUAGAGGUCACUGGAACUCCAAGUGUAGGAGUGAAAUCCGUAGAUAUUUGGAGGAACACCGAUGGCGUAUGCAGGUGACUGGGCCGCAACUGACACUAAAGCACGAAAGCGUGUGUAGCAAACGCGAUUAGAUACCCCGGUAGUCCACGCCCUAAACUAUGGAUGCUAGCAGUUUCGAGUAUCGACCCUCGGAGUUGCGAAGCUAACGCGUUAAGCAUCACGACUGUGGAGUACGAGCGCAAGCUUAAAACAUAAAGGAAUUGACUGGGACCCGCACAAGCAGCUGGA